rnacentral:sRNA from 1 species
GUAAUAAUAGAUCAUAAUCCUCGUAAUUAAAUAAGGAAACAAAUCAUGAAAUCUAAAUAAAUAUGAAUACAAUUCUAAGGGAUAACAAGGACAAAUGGAAGGCGGACAUAUGGAAGGCAGACAUACGAGAUAAUAUUAAUACUCAAGAUAUAAUAAACUGAUAAUUGGAUAUCUUUCAUUUACACUAGCACUAACAUUUUACCUUUGUUUAGUUGUCUAUUGUCUUUUAUAUUCCCCUCUACCUUUUAUACUAGUUUUCAUAUUUCGCUAGUUCUAAGGAAGGAAAGAAAGAAGUUUUAUACAAUAUAGAUAAUUAGCAAAAGACCUAAUGGUUCUUUUCCGUUUCUAUUUGAGUAUAUAGAUAAAUGCCUCCCUUACAGCCAUUUGAGAGUAUUCACAUAAAAUAGAAGUUUAACAGAGAAAAGAAAAACAAUUUUGUUGGUUACUAUUCAAGUAUUUAUCUCUUCCACUCUCAGGAAACUUGCAAAUAAGUUUUUCGUAUAUAUUAUAAUUUAUAACUAAAAGUGCAAUCUAAAUGCACCUGCCGUCUCAUAGUCAGUCCCAUGCCUGGAUAAAGGAGGUGGGUUGUGUUAGGCCUUCGACAACCAACACAAAACACACCAAUAAAACACAUGGAUCACUCACUAUUUGAAAUGUCACAUUGAUAUCUCUCUCUUCAAAACUAAUUAAAUGUAAACAACAAAAUAUUGAAACUAUAGACAUACCCUGGAGUACCUUGCUUCAGAUUUGUCUAGAAAUUCAUCAGGAUAUCUGUGUUGAUAUUGUUGCCGCCACCGAAACGAGAAUUCUUGAAAUGCGUAAACUACAGGAUCAAUUUUCGGAAUGACCACU